rnacentral:rRNA from 1 species
GACGAACGCUGGCGGCGUGCCUAAUACAUGCAAGUCGAACGCUGAAGAGAGGAGCUUGCUCUUCUUGGAUGAGUUGCGAACGGGUGAGUAACGCGUAGGUAACCUGCCUUGUAGCGGGGGAUAACUAUUGGAAACGAUAGCUAAUACCGCAUAACAAUGGAUGACACAUGUCAUUUAUUUGAAAGGGGCAAUUGCUCCACUACAAGAUGGACCUGCGUUGUAUUAGCUAGUAGGUGAGGUAACGGCUCACCUAGGCGACGAUACAUAGCCGACCUGAGAGGGUGAUCGGCCACACUGGGACUGAGACACGGCCCAGACUCCUACGGGAGGCAGCAGUAGGGAAUCUUCGGCAAUGGGGGCAACCCUGACCGAGCAACGCCGCGGGAGUGAAGAAGGGUUUCGGAUCGUAAAGCUCUGUUGUAAGUCAAGAACGAGUGUGAGAGUGGAAAGUUCACACUGUGACGGUAGCUGAACAGAAAGGGACGGCUAACUACGUG